GGGGUUGUGGCUUAGCAGUAAAGCACUUGCCUAGUACGUGCAAGGCGCUGGGUUCGAUCCUCAGCUCCU
rnacentral:tRNA from 1 species